CUGGCUCAGGACGAACGCUGGCGGCGUGCCUAACACAUGCAAGUCGAGCGAGGAGAUCCUUCGGGAUGAUCCUAGCGGCGGACGGGUGAGUAACACGUGGGCAACCUGCCUCAUAGAGAGGAAUAGCCUUCCGAAAGGGAGAUUAAUACCUCAUAACAUUGCAGUUUCGCAUGGAACAGCAAUUAAAGGAGCAAUCUGCUAUGAGAUGGGCCCGCGGCGCAUUAGCUAGUUGGUGAGGUAACGGCUCACCAAGGCGACGAUGCGUAGCCGACCUGAGAGGGUGAUCGGCCACAUUGGGACUGAGACACGGCCCAGACUCCUACGGGAGGCAGCAGUGGGGAAUAUUGCACAAUGGGGGAAACCCUGAUGCCAGCAACGCCGCGUGAGUGAUGACGGCCUUCGGGUUGUAAAGCUCUGUCUUCAGGGACGAUAAUGACGGUACCUGAGGAGGAAGCCACGGCUAACUACGUGCCAGCCGCGGC
rnacentral:rRNA from 1 species